rnacentral:rRNA from 1 species
AGUGAACGCUGGCGGUAUGCCUAACACAUGCAAGUCGAACGGCAGCACCGUAAGAGCUUGCUCUUACGGGUGGCGAGUUGCGGACGGGUUAGGAAUACAUCCGAAUCUACUUUUUCGUAGGGGAUAACGUAGGGAAACUUACGCUAAUACCGCAUACGACCUACGGGUUACAGCAGGGGAUCUUCGGACCUUGCGCUAUUGAAUGAGCCGGUGUCGGAUUAGCUAGUUGGCGGGGUAAAGGCCCACCAAGGCGACGAUCCGUAGCUGGUCUGAGAGGAUGACAAGCGCCACUGGAACUGAGACACGGUCCAGACUCCUACGGGAGGAAGGAGUGGGGAAUAUUGGAAAAUGGGAGCAAGCAUGAUCCAGCAAUAGCGCGUGGGUGAAGAAGGCCUUCGGGUUGUAAAGCCCAUGUGUUGGGAAAGAAAAGCAGCAGGUUAAUAAGAAGAUGUUAUGACGGUACCUAAAGAAUAAGCACCGGCUAACUCCGUG